GUGGGUGUGGUGUAUGGUACACGGCUGUCGCAGUUGCACAAUAAUUAAGAAUGUUUGUAAGCAGCAGAACCGGGUUCGAUCCCUGGCAUCCACA